rnacentral:rRNA from 1 species
UAGGGAAUAUUGGUAAUGUGCGAAAGCGCGAACCAGCAACGCCGCGUGCACGGUGAAGGCCUUCGGGUUGUAAAGUGCUUUUAGAGAGGAUGAGGAAGGACAGUACUUUCUGAAUAAGCCUCGGCUAACUACGUGCCAGCAGCCGCGGUAAAACGUAGGAGGCUAGCGUUAUCCGGAUUUACUGGGCGUAAAGCGCGUGCAGGUGGUUUCGUAAGUUGGAUGUGAAAGCUCCUGGCUUAACUGGGAGAGGUCGUUCAAAACUGCGAGGCUUGAGAGUGGUAGAGGGAGGUGGAAUUCCGGGUGUAGUGGUGAAAUGCGUAGAUAUCCGGAGGAACACCAGUGGCGAAAGCGGCCUCCUGGACCAUUUCUGACACUCAGACGCGAAAGCUAAGGUAGCAAACG